GACGAACGCUGGCGGCGCGCCUAACACAUGCAAGUCGAACGGAGUCAAGAGGAGCUUGCUUUUCUUGACUUAGUGGCGAACGGGUGAGUAACGCGUGAGUAACCUGCCCUGGAGUGGGGGACAACAGUUGGAAACGACUGCUAAUACCGCAUAAGCCCACGGAUCUGCAUGGAUCUGCGGGAAAAGGAUUUAUUCGCUCUAGGAUGGACUCGCGUCCAAUUAGCUAGUUGGUGAGGUAACGGCCCACCAAGGCGACGAUUGGUAGCCGGACUGAGGGGUUGACCGCCACAUUGGGACUGAGACACGGCCCAGACUCCUACGGGAGGCAGCAGUGGGGGAUAUUGCACAAUGGGGGAAACCCUGAUGCAGCGACGCCGCGUGGAGGAAGAAGGUUUUCGGAUUGUAAACUCCUGUCGUUAGGGACGAUAAUGACGGUACCUAACAAGAAAGCACCAGCUAACUACGUG
rnacentral:rRNA from 1 species